rnacentral:snRNA from 1 species
UAACUGGCUUGUGGCAGCCA